UCUCCGUAGGUGAACCUGCGGAGGGAUCAUUACCGAGUUCAUGCCCUACCGGGUAGAUCUCCCACCCUAUGUUAUUAUUACUUUGUUGCUUUGGCGGGCCGUUAGGCUCCGGCCCGACUACCGGCCCCGGCUGGUAAGCGCCCGCCAGAGGACCCAAAACCCUGAAUAUUAGUGUCGUCUGAGUACUAUAUAAUAGUUAAAACUUUCAACAACGGAUCUCUUGGUUCUG
rnacentral:misc_RNA from 1 species